rnacentral:rRNA from 1 species
AAUGAACGCUGGCGGCGUGCCUAAGACAUGCAAGUCGUACGCGAAAGUGGCUUCGGCCAUGAGUAAAGUGGCGCACGGGUGAGUACAACUUAGAUAAUGCGCCCUCUCGCUGGGGAGUAACUAGGCGAAAGACUUAGCUAAUACCGAAUGAUCCGACGGAGACUGCGGUCUCUUUCGGUAAAGCCGCAAGGCGCGAGAGGAGUAGUCUGAGUCCCAUUAGCAGUUGGUGAGGUAACGGCUCACCAAGGCGACGAUGGGUAGCUGGUCUGAGAGGAUGAUCAGCCACACUGGAACUGGAAC